UCAUAAUUGAUAAGAAGUAUAUAUCAAGCUGAAAUCCACCUCUCAGAAAUGUAUAAAAAAUGAGUGAAAAGCCACUGGCUCCAGUGCUGCCUCCUCAAGCCAUGCAGAAGUGAGCUUUUUGGAUGUGAUAGACAUUCAAAUACUUGAAGAGGACUCUUAUCUUUCCCAGACCAAACACUCCCAGAUCCUUAAACUGAUCCUUGAGUGAUGUUUUCAAGGUCUCUCACUCUGGUGGUUGUCUUUUUCUAGUUCCAUUGCGCCUCAAUAAUUUUCUUCCUAAAAUAUGGUGCCCAGAACUGAACAGAGUACAUCCAUGAUGAGGAUAUGACACUCCAUCUCCCAACUCUGUUCAUUUCCAUCGGCUGUCUUACCUGUCUGGACCUUUCUCCCCAUCUGUCUCCUGGCUUCCCUGGCUUCCUUCAAGUUUCAGCUAGUCACUUUCUGAAAGAAGUAAGUCUUAAAUGUCGCACCUUCCCUUUGAGAGGAUCUCUAAUUGAUUCCCUGUCUGUUUUGUUCAUAUUUAAUUCUUUGCAUGUUGCUUCCCUGUUCCUCCCUGCCCCAUUAGACUAUGAGUGCCUUGAGAACAAUGGCUAUUUUUGCUUUUCUUACUAUGUCCCUGGCACCUUUGAGGCACCUAAAAAUGCUUGUUGGCUUGUUGAUUUGCACUAUGUAACACAGCAGUGAUCCACAGAGAGGCUCUGAGAUAGGCUACUGAGACACAUAGAUAAGUUUUCCCUUUAUGCUAAAUGGCUGUUGACUCCUGUAUUCUUAGAAUUCUUAUGCCUGCUUUAAAAUUUAAGUUCUUUGAGAGCAGAAACCCAUCCAAAGCACAUAGAAAAAUAGCAAAUGAGUGUCAGAACAGAUCAGGUUAUAUAUAACCUGUGAACUUCAAAAUUUGGAAGAGCCUCCCGAGAUGCAGCAACUCCUGAAGUCCAAAGCAGUGAAGCUGGUCUGGUGAGGGGCCAGCCCUAAGAAAUGAGUGACUUGCUUGACCCAGCUCAGUAGCAAAUUCACCCAGAAGCCCAGCAAGAGAAUGACUUUCUUCAGCUAUGCCCCACCCAGCAAGUUCACUUGGUGGAGGGAAUAUGGGAGGCAGCCUUUACCCUCACCAAUUUAAGACUCAAGGGGCUUCCAAGGACCAUGGCCUCUUGAUGAUAACUCUGAAAUCCCUUUCACAAUUGAGUCCUCAGCAACAGCAUACUUUCAACUCAACAGUUUCAAGUCUGAUAAAUCCUUUUAAAUGCAGGAAAAAGUCAGUGAUUGCUGGGGAAAGAAAAUGCCAUCUGUUGCCUCUAUUCCCUGAUCUUUGCGUUGUAGUAUUUUUACCUUAUGAGAGGAGAGAAACACAAAGCCAUGGUCAGAGGACCAAAGUAGAGAGGAGGGAUAAUAUAUGUAGCUACCAGGGACCAGCAGCUCUUCCUUGGUAAAGACCAGAACACAGACCAGAAGAGCAGUCACUAUACAUUUCACAGGAUACUACCACCUUGAAAGUACAAAAACUAGGCUGGAAAAAUGAGCACAAACUUGAUCAUAAAAAUCUCCCAUGGUGGCAGGGAACACCAAGAUAUAUGCUCAGAAGAAGAUAACAAUGUGAAAACAACUACAAAUAAAGCCCAAAAGAAAAAUGUUACCUGAAUCCAAGCCCAACCAAAUUUCCUAAAAGAAGUUAAAGUAAGGAAAAAAUGGGAAAAGAAAUGAGAGUGAUGCAAGAAAAUUAUGAAAAUAGAAUUAACAGCUUGGUAAAAGAGGCACCAAAAAUAGUGAAGGAAAUAACACUUAAAAAACAAAACAAAACAGAAUUGACCUAGUGGUAAAAGAGGCAAAAAGAAUCACUGAAGGAAAGAACUUCUUAAAAAGCAGAAUUACCCCAAUGGAAAAAAGAGUUAUAAAAGCUCACUGAAGAAAAUAAUUACUUCAAAAUUAGAAUUGAGCAAGUGGAAGCUAGAGACUCCAUGAGACAAAAAGAAACAAUAAAACAAAGCAAAAAGAAUGAAGGGAAAAAAAAGAAAAAAUGUGAAACAUCUCAUUGGAAAAACAACAGACCUGGAAAACAGAUUGAGGAAAGAGAAUUUGAGAAUGAUUAUAGAUUUCUUGAAAGCCAUGAUGUAAGAAAUAACCUAGGCAUCAUAUUUCAAAAAGUUAUCAAGAAAACUGCCCUCAUAUCUUAGAUUUAUGGUAUAAAAUAGGAAUUGAAAGAAUUCACUGAUCACUUUUUGAAAAAAAUAUCCCAAAAUGAAAACUCUCAGGAAUAUUCUUUAUAGCCAAAUUUCAGAGCUCCCAGGUCAAAGAACAACAAAACAGAAACAAAUGAAAUACUGUAGAGUCACAUUCUGGAUCACACAAGAUUUAGUGGCUUCUGACUUAAAGGAGCAGGAGGAUUAGAAUAUGGUAUUCUGGAAGGCAAAGGAGCUAGGUUUACAACCAAGAAUGACCUAUGUAGAAAAAUUGAGUAAAAUCCCUCAGGGAAAAAAUGGAUAUUUCAUGAAAUAUAGGACUUUCAAAUAAAUAUUCCCAAUAUUAAAACCAUGAAGAAAAAUUGACAUUCAAAGAAAAGACUCAAGAGAAGCACAAAAAAGUAUUCCCUUUUUGCCUGUGCAAAUAAAACUACAUCCUCUGAGUUCCAAAUGUGGGAUUCUCAGAACACAUCCUCCUGGAAGAGAAGGCUAUCAUGAGCAGUGUCAAACUCUUGGAAAAUGGAAGAGGAUUGUGCAUGUGGUUCUGAAUCUGGAGAAGCAGCAGGGGAGCUUGAGAUGAGAUGGAGAACAAAAGACCCAGACUUUAGCUGCUUAAAAAUAUAUUAUGAACUAUAUAAUCAACAAACAUGUAUUUAUAAAGAAAAAUGAGAAAAAAGAUUGCACAUGA